rnacentral:piRNA from 1 species
UUUGCAAUUUUGAAUUGCGGA